rnacentral:rRNA from 1 species
GAUGAACGCUGGCGGCGUGCCUAAUACAUGCCAGUCGAGCGAACAGAUGAGGAGCUUGCUCCUCUGACGUUAGCGGCGGACGGGUGAGUAACACGUGGAUAACCUACCUAUAAGACUGGGAUAACUUCGGGAAACCGGAGCUAAUACCGGAUAAUAUAUUGAACCGCAUGGUUCAAUAGUGAAAGACGGUUUUGCUGUCACUUAUAGAUGGAUCCGCGCCGCAUUAGCUAGUUGGUAAGGUAACGGCUUACCAAGGCGACGAUGCGUAGCCGACCUGAGAGGGUGAUCGGCCACACUGGAACUGAGACACGGUCCAGACUCCUACGGGAGGCAGCAGUAGGGAAUCUUGCGCAAUGGGCGAAAGCCUGACGGAGCAACGCCGCGUGUGUGAUGAAGGUCUUCGGAUCGUAAAACUCUGUUAUUAGGGAAGAACAAAUGUGUGAGUAACUAUGCACGUCUUGACGGUACCUAAUCAGAAAGCCACGGCUAACUACGUG